rnacentral:lncRNA from 1 species
UUCACAUUGAACACAGACCAGAGAAGUGUUUCCACUAAUUUAUAGGAUGAAAAAAAAAAAAAAACUACUGCCUUUCAUUUCUCUACUCUUCCGACAACUCUGAGAACAAUGGUUCCUGAGAGUGACAAUAUCUGAGGAAAGAGCAGGUCCUGCAACCAACGAGAAAUUCUCCUGCAGCAUUUCAAAGCAGGCAAGAUGGAGAGUAUUUGAGCGGUCAAAUAGAGGAUAUGAGAAGAAAAAAAGAAUAACUUCUAUGUGGAAAACCAUUCAUCAAAGACUGCAUCUGUGAAGGUGUGCAGGAGGACAAAAAUAGGAUCAUUUGGAGACAAAUGGGUUUGUCCCCCUGUUCCAUUCAGGAAUAGAUGAGCCAAAUUGUGAAGACUUCGAACAGCAGGGUCAUACUUUCCCGUGGGGUCACUGUAACCUAGACACAUGUGAUUCUUAAAUUUGUUUGCAUAUGGACAAACUCUGCCAUUGCACCUAACAUCCUAUGGACCAAAGUCCUGUGGAAUUUCCACAUAAAAAUAAAUGGAAAGUUGCCCAUGUCUGAAGAAGAAAAUAUAUUUGAGAAGUACUGUGAAUAAAGAACAGUGUUUUUCUAUGUUGAUUCAAAGAUGGUAUUUUGGUGGCUGGAAGAACGUUAGCUGCAAUAAAAUAUUAACUAUUUUCAAUCCACCAAGUUUGGCGCAUUAAUUUUGAAUAUUGGAGAAAUACUAUGCAACAAGCAUGUGAAGACAUGGGUAUGGAAUAUUUAAAGAAAGAAGGUUUUAUCUAAAGGUGGAAACGUGUGGGUCUCCAGUAAAAGAUGACGAAUGGAACUACAGAAAUGGACAAGAUCAUUAAAGAAGAACAGUAAUAGAAGAGAGAAUUGUUAUGAAGACUAAAUAGGAUACUAUAUCAAUGCAUUUCAUACUAUAUCAGAUACAUAAUAUAUGUUCAAUAAAAUGAUAGUUUUUCCCUUUCCUUUGCCUUAUAAAUAAAAUGUCUGCCAUUUAUCUCUUGCAGUGAGACAAGGGAUAAUCUUAAAAAUAUUUUAACCUAAAAUAAAUAUUCUUCAAUUUGUCAUGAGACUAUGUGUCUGAGUUAGGAGACUUGUUAUAUUAAUUGACAAGAAAAAUUAUGAUG